GACGAACGCUGGCGGCGUGCUUAACACAUGCAAGUCGAACGAAGUGGCGAACGGGUGAGUAACGCGUAAUCAACCUGCCCUUCAGAGGGGGACAACAGUUGGAAACGACUGCUAAUACCGCAUACUGAAGGAGGGGAUUGCGUCUGAUUAGCUAGGUGGAGGGGUAACGGCCCACCAAGGCGAUGAUCAGUAGCCGGUCUGAGAGGAUGAACGGCCACAUUGGGACUGAGACACGGCCCAGACUCCUACGGGAGGCAGCAGUGGGGACUCUUCCGCAAUGGACGAAAGUCUGACGGAGCAACGCCGCGUGAGUGAUGAAGGUCUUCGGAUCGUAAAACUCUGUUAUUAGGGAAGCGGUACCUAAUCAGAAAGCCACGGCUAACUACGUGCCAGCAGCCGCGGUAAUAC
rnacentral:rRNA from 1 species